rnacentral:sRNA from 1 species
UAAUAUAUGUCUUACCGAAGACAGUAGGGGGCUUAGGCCAUAAUAUUCCUACCGAGGAAGAAUCCAGUUGAGAAUUACACGGAUCCUCUAUGUCUAGGUGGCAUAGAGUUUUUUGUUUUUU